GCAGUCGUGGCCGAGUGAUUAAGGCGAUGGACUAGAAAUCCAUUGGGGUCUCCCCGCACAGGUUCGAAUCCUGUCGACUGUG
rnacentral:tRNA from 2 species